AGGGCUGCAGCUCAGUGGUAGAGCAUCUGGCUUCCAUGUGGAAGGUGCCGGGUUCAAUCCCUGGCACCUCUA